GAAAAAACAUAUAUUUCAUGUUUUGCGUAUAAAAAAUAUAUUUUAUCACGUAACCUAAAAAUCAAAUAGAAAGACAGGGAUAAAAGAACAUAACCAAAUCAUGAUGAUCAAUUUUAAUCCAAACCAAGAUUUAUAAAAAUUGGAACAACAUAAUGAUUACAUUCUGAAUUAUUUGAAUCGAAUCCAUAUUAUGUGAAAAAAAUCAAUGUAACAAUAUUAUAAAUUAAUUUUUUUUUUAAAUGCUAAAGCUAUAGUAUUAUUUAAAAAUUUUAUUAUGCAUUUUAUAACAAAAUCAAACAUGAACGGAUUUAUUAUAAACCAAAUCAUAUCCAAAUACAGAAUGCCAAUCCCAAAAAAAUAUAUGUAUGGGGAAUUAUCUAAGUGAAAAUGCUAUAACAACAAAAAAAUUACUUUAAAGAAAAAAUAAAUUAUAAUAGAUCUAAUGCAAUAUUGAAAUUUGACUAUUUAAAAUAAAAUUACGAUGACAUGCCAAUAAUGAACGAUAUAUAUAUGCACAUAUGAAAUUUAUGAAAAUAUAUUACCAUUAUUCAUGAUUUCGACAAGGAUUUUCGAGGAUAUGAAUAAAAUCUUCUUUCUUCUGAAACCACCCGGUGCAAGUAUUCAGUUUCUCACCUUUUAAUAGGAAUGCACACUUUUUUGAGCUUAUAUCGAAUAUACAGUUUUAAACCAUGGCAAUCAUAUUUAUAUAAACAAAAGUACGAUUCAACACAAUGAUAUCUAUAAAGUUAUGCCAACAUAGUAAAUAAUAAAGAAAGUGAAAUAUGGUAAUAAACUAAAUUCAAUAUAGGUAAACUUAUAAUAGUAGUCAAUGUUUCGAAGAAUAAAAGAGAAACUAGAUAGUCAAAAUGCGUGAAAAAUUAGAAACUAAAUAAGUUGAAGAAAAAACCUUUGGUUGGCAACAAAAUCAAGAGCGGAGAAUCUCUCACAUUCAUCUUUCAAAGUUAUGACGGCAUAGUAAAUAACAAAGAAAGUAAAAUAUGGUAAUAUAUUAAAUUCAAUAUAGAUAAACUUAUAAUAUUGGUCAAUUUUCGAAGAAUAAAAGAGAAACUAAAUAGUCAACAUGCGUGAAAGUUUAGAAAGUAAAUAAGUUGAAGAAAAAACUUCGGUUGGCAAAAGAAAACAAAAGCAAAGAAUCUCUCUCAAUUCUUUUCCACAUUCAUUCAAAGAGAGAAAGAUAUUAAUUGUUCAUUUUUACUAUAAAUUUUUUUGAUGUAAUCAGAAUUUGAUUCCAUUUCGACAGACUUCGUCUUUGCACAGACCGAUUUUGCCUUCUAGUGAUAUUUGAAGUAUAUUAUGUUUAGGUUUCUUAUCUUUUCAUUUCCAUUAUAUUUUCAUCAUCUCUUUUAUUUUUAUUUGUUAUAUGAUCUCAUUCUAUUGAUGAUGGAUGUUUUGUCUCUUUCUUCUUAGGAGAGUUCAUAGCUCUCUACUCAUUUGAGAGAUCUAUGAUAUGUUAAUGUUAAGGCGAAGUGUCUCUUUUGAAAUUAAGAAAUAAAAUGUUAUUGUUUCUUUGUUUUGUCCAGAUUAGAUGCAGAAUCCUUACAAGUUCUUUUCAUUGGUUUAAUUCUUGGUGGUUUGAUGAAGUUCAUGUUAGUGUAAUGGUGAUUUCAUAAAGGAAAAUGUGUACAGCUGUGGAAAGAACUCGGAUUAAUCCGUUUCUAAAAUUUAAUUAAGGGAAAGCUAAAGCAUGGUUGCAAAAACUAGGAGCGGAGUUGGCUUCAAAAUGCUGGAGUUUUGCGUUGGUGGUAGAAGAAAGCGGUAGCAAUCGGAUGAUGGUGAUGAAGAAAUGACAGAUUAAACAUGGUUCUUUUUUAACAUUAGUUAAUUAUGCUAUUACAGAAAUAUUACAUAGACGAUUUUACAACCAAAAAUUCUUACUGUCUUAUUAGUAAUCACGUAUGACUGUAUAACUUUAAACGUCUUACAAGAUCUACGUUUACGUCUGACGGUACUCCUUGCAUUAUGAUGAAAAUUUCAUGUAAGCAUUUGCUUUAUUAAUCUGCAUAUUUCACAUUCUUAAGGACCUGAAAUUUAAACCUGCUAAUGUAGAAUAUUAAUGAACUAUUAGUUAAAUUACUGGAUUUAGAGUGCAUUCACGAUUAAACAUGAUUAUUGAUGACUGAUGAUGAACCAUUAAACAUUGAAACCAUGUCUUACCCAUGUAUUGAUGAACUGAGAAUGAACCAUAAUACUCAUUUCACUCUUAAUUCAAUGCUUUCACUAUCAUUAGAACCUUCUGAGGAUCGCGCCAUCUUUUGUCUUAAAUAUAGACUUUUAGUUUCAUAUUCUUUUUUUUAAUUAUGUUAAAUUUUUAUAUAUUUUUGUUAAAUAAUAAUAAAUAUAUAUUAUAAUAGAAGAGUUUUGCUCUUUCCUAAAGGUGUCCAUGUCAUCAAUCCCCUCUUUAUUGUGGGUCCUACACUGUAUCUAACAAACCGUCCAUCCAAAUCCUCGACUUUAUGUCUUCCUCUUCCUCCCGUCGGCCGAUGCGGUGUAUUCUCUUUAACAGUUCAUAUUCAGAGGCGUUGGAAUCUAUGUUCUUCUUCCCUAAAUGUAAGCGGCGGUUCACUAUGUCAUGAUCUUCAUCUUCCCCGGUCGUUAGUCUCUGGAGAUAGUUGGUCGUCUUCUCUGCUAUUAGAAUUCACGUAAUAUCAAAGGACAGUCAAUUCAUGGGUAUCACAAAACAUUUUGAUAAGAAGCACUCUGUCGUCUAUGGUUCAUUGUCAUACUCCACACCAAGACGAAUUAGCUCACCAAAAAAGCAGCCACACCAUCCACACAAACAAUUAAAUACUCUUUCUAAACAUUGUAAGGUUACACCAAACAAUUUCACUCCCAGGGUGAAAGCAGCAAUAGAACUCCAAAUUAAAGACAAUAUUCAACAUUUUUCCCAAAAAAAACAAGCUAGAGAGAUUACCCAUACACAAAAAAAGAAGCAAGAGACAAAUUUUAAAGUUCACCAACUUAUAAGGUCAACCAUGGAGAUCACUCUGCAGCCGUCACGAAGAUGGAACUACCAAUAUCUCCGACUGUUGUUUAUGAAGAGAAAAGUCGCAAAUACUCAUGUGAGUUGUCUUCACAUGGCCAAUAGUCCGGUUUUCCACUUAUUUUAUGUUUUUUAACUUUAUAAAACCGUCAUUAAGGUUCUUCUAAGUUCCUAAGAUUUUCAUCUUUUCUAUUGCUUCUUAAUGUUUCUCCAAAUAUGCCUUCGCUUAGUGCAAAGUUACUUGGUUUACAAUAUAAAAGGUAAAGUUGACGGCCAUU